rnacentral:rRNA from 1 species
CCUGACCUCGGAUCAGAUGGAGUACCCGCUGAACUUAA